rnacentral:ncRNA from 1 species
ACCCAGCGGCGGGGUUGGCGCCGACCGGUAUCAGCUGUGAGUGACCGGGCAUGAAAUAACCGCAGCAGCA